GACGAACGCUGGCGGCGUGCCUAAUACAUGCAAGUCGAGCGAACUUUUUCUGAGCUUGCCCCUAGAAAAAUUGCGGGGGACAGGGGAGAAUCACGUGUAAAACCCCUCCCUAAUACUGGGGUAACAUCGUGGAAACGGAUAUCAAAUCCGGUAAAACAUUGUUCCGCACAUUAGAGUAGUUUAAAACUGGUUUAUUCUAACAUAUUGAUAUAGCUUUGCGGUGCAUUAGCUAGUUGGUGGGGUAAAGGCCUACCAAGGCGACGAUGCAUAGCCGACCUGAGAGGGUGAUCGGCCACACUGGGACUGAGACACGGCCCAGACUCCUACGGGAGGCAGCAGUAGGGAAUCUUCCGCAAUGGGCGAAAGCCUGACGGAGCAACGCCGCGUGAGUGAAGAAGGUCUUCGGUUCGUAAAGCUCUGUUGUUAGGGAAGAAUGGAUAUGUAGUAAAUAUACGUGUAAGAGACGGUACCUAAUCAGAAAGCCACGGCUAACUACGUG
rnacentral:rRNA from 1 species